AUAAACAAAAAAAAACUGCUAUUACACUACGACGUCAUAAAAAGCUGAAAUUCUAAGUAAUCCGAUAUAGUGAAACAAGGUAAACCCACAUUUACUUACAAAUGUAACAAGCAACACUUACAAAGUAUCCUUCAGAGUUGAUGGAAACUAACGAGUGAUCGCUAUAACUUAGUAGAAAGUAACAAAGAUAAUGAACAGUUACCUGCCAGCAUGUCAUUUAUAUCUACUUUAAAAUCCUUUGAUGGGGAGAAGUAGACAGUUUUCCAAGAACAGUUGGAUUGUUCCUUCAUUGUUAAUGAAGUGUCAUAAAAAAGAUUCAACUAUUAAUCAGAAAACACCCACAGUGUAUUAAGUUUUAUAUUAUUUGUGUGUACCUAAAAAACACAUAAAUUGUAAUACAUAAAACGAAAUGCUUCAAAUUGCACAGAGUUCGAGAGAGUACUAACAGCAUCCUAAGAGAGCUAAGUGACAAGCUAGACUGCCCGAUCAUGGGACAUUGGUGGUGCGCACAUAUGCCCAUAGCCGGUAUCAGGUGCCUAAGAUCACUUUAGUUUAGUUUCUUCUUUUCUUUCUGUGUGUAAUGGAUUAUGAAAUUCGAAUGAAAGUCGCCGCUCCUUCAUUAGUAUAAAUGUGACAUUUACAAGAUAACAUAUUUAGUUAAUAAACACACCAACUUCCGUCCAAACCACUUAGACCUUUACUAAUAUAACCGUCUCCAUUAAGAGACUAAAUUGAUUAUUAAAUACUCCACAUAAGAGCAUCAUUUUCCCAACCUAACCCAAAACCCAACAAAACUCACCACUCAGCCAAACAUUGGAUUUUUGAAGUAAAAUUGUAUUUUGCAUGUAAUGUUUAUAUAAAUAAAAUAUAUAUUUCAAAACGACAACGAAGGUGAGAGGUUGUUUCAAGCAGCCUUGGCUUACAAACUCACCAUAACAAAUACUAAUUUUCAAAACCGAGAAUCACACAUAGUAACUUUUCAUAGUAGUAGAUUCAAAACAUUUCUAUUUUAGUCGCUGCCUGGUAUACUGCAUUUAUUAAUUUUGUUUGUGUAUUUAUGGCUAAAAUUGAAAUGGGCGGGACACUUGAUGCGAAUAGAGGAUGGCAGAUGGACAAAGAACAUUGUGGACCGGGCCAUGACCUGGAAAAAGAACAAGAGGAAGACACAAAGCCCGGUGACAAGAUGACAUAAUAAAAAUAGCAGGGAAAGGAUGGACUAGGGCAGCUACAAACAGGGAAAAAUGGAAACAAAUGGAGGAGGCCUAUACCCGGCAGGAGUCAUAACAAUAAUUUACUUUUUUAUGCUAUUUAUAUAACACACAUAUAAACAAUUGUAAUAUGACAAAUAAAGGCUUAUUAUUAUUAUUACACUCAAAACCCAGAUUUACUAUCUGUUAGUCCGAAAAUCAAAUGUCAUUAAAUUAACAAUGCCAAAGUUAUACCCAGUGAGGUUGUAGCCCCACAGCAUAAGCACAUAGUAUAAGACCUUAUAAUAAAAAUUUCCCUCACAUAAAACAAAAAUAUGUGUGGUUUCAAGUGUACUAAAUGAUAGAAAAUUAUCAAACAAUGCUCUUUUGCAUAGGGAAUUGACACAAAACCGUUUGUGCAAGACAAUAGUUUUAGUAAAUAAAUUGUGUAGUAAAUAGCUUAUCCAAUAUACAGUUCAUUCGAAAAUAAAUAAACAGCAAUAGUAGUGAGGUAGAGCGGCUUAAGACACCCACAUGUUAUUACGCCCCCGCAGCACAUUUAAACAGGCUUGGGUGAGAUUCGAUUGGGGAAUAUUUCAUUCUAUCAGAAGUGUGGAACCAGAAGCCCUACCUCCUACAGUCUAAUCACCUAAAGCAAGUCUUUUAUUUACACACCAUCAGAGAUAGGUGUGCAACCUGCACACUUUUCAAAUACAAAACUAAAGUAAUUAUGAGACUGGCAUGUUUAAACGAACAUGUCCCAAUUAAAAAUAAAGAAAAAAAUCUGAAUUACAAAUGCAAGCGGAACCAGCACUGCCUUUAAUCAUAAUUGUCUGCAGAGCCUUUUCCUGUCAUCUUUUUUUAAAUGUGAUUUUUUUUAUUUUAAACCAAGGAGUCAUUGAUGAUUUUAUGGAAUAUUUUAUUUAACAGAAUUCAGAAGACAUGCUAGGCCAAGAUAUAAGACUGGAUCAAUAAGAUUGCCUUACUGUCCCUAUAAGCACCGCUACACCAAAAUAUAUCUUCCAUAUCUGAAGUCAAAUUACAGAAGUAAAUCUAUAACUUAAUAUAACAAAUAGUUUCAAUGUUCAAAUCAAUAUUUUAGUACAUACUAAGAUAAAUACUAGCCAAAUAAAAUCUUACUUUGUAAUUCAAUAACAUAAAAAAACAUGGCUAUUGAAUUUUCAAUUACCACAGAAGACAAGCACAUGUGCUCAGUGGUUUUAAAUAAAUAAGUAAAUAAAUGGCGGCAAUGGAGGCAAAAUAAUGGUGUCAAUUGACACAACCACCUGUAUUCACUAAAAUAGUGAGGUGAUUGCUUAUAGAUGUCUGCAUUUGCAGCAGCACAGCCUACCUUUACACAUUUCACUUUGACAAACAGAACUUUAUUAAUUUCCCCAAAGGUCCAGGGGACUGGUGUCCAUACUUGGGUACCCUGCAUGAUGAAACACACAGAUAUACCCCCUUCCUAUUAGUCUUCAAACUAUAAAAUCACUCUUGCAUUUGGAAUAGAAUGAACAGAAGAACAAACUUUGACUAUGUUUUUUAAAAACAUAAUGCAUAUAAUUUAAUAACAAUACAAUAAAAUAUUGCAUGUUUUCUUUAUUAAUACCAAAAUGGUGAGCAAUCAACAACAUUUAGAGAAAAAAAUAAUGUUAGACGACUACAAAACAUAAGCCAAAGUCAAAUAAAAACAAAGCUGACAUGUUAAAAGCAUGACUAAAACCACCACAAUAUGUGGCAUAUAGAUAACUUUGCUUUUGCAACUUGUAUAAGUUCGAAAAUGUUACAUUUCUCUUUGCUUUAAAAUGUUAAGUUAUUUCUGAGUAAAACCAAUACCAAUAGCAAUGUUUCAUAAUAAUCAAGUUAUGGACCAGAUCAAUGCUUAGAUAAUAGCAUUACACCUUUUCACAGGUUAUGUCCAGACCUCAAAAUUGGUUAUGCGUAAAUUCAAGUUUGUAUUUUCUUUUAAAAUAUAAAGAUUCGCUCCCAGAUUAGAAUCUGUUAUAGAAGUAUGAAGAAAUAAAACUUAAUUUCCUACCAGAUAACGAACAAAAAACAAGUAAAAGUUAACAAUAACGAAAUGAAGUUGCUUCUACUCGAAUAAGUAGUAAUAACCUAAUAACGAAUCACAAUCCCGUUCGACAAGAGCAAGCCGGCCCAGGCAGAGCAGAGGCACAUACAAAAAACAACUGACAAUUUGACUUUGAGCUUUGACAUUAAUUGAUAAAUGUGAAUGUUGCCUAUAAUGUUACUCUUUAAUAUAACUUUCGCCCACGACUUCGUCUGCGUAGUAGAAAAAAAAGUAAGUAGCCUAUUAGUGCUUUCAAAUAAUCCUCUAUAUCUUUGCCAAAUUUAGUCGAGAUCCGUUCAGCAGUUUAGGCUACAAACUACACACACAUCCAUCUAUCCAUCUGAACUUUCGCAUUUAUAGGAUUAGUAAAACAAUUUGACAGAGAUAAAAUUAACUGUCCCUAAAGACAAUAGGUUUCGCAAAGGUAGGUAAUAUAAAAACCAUGAACAUUGUACAAGCCAAGUGAAAUUGCUCCUAUGUUUUCAUCGUACUCCGGCACAAGCAUGCGUCGAUCUAUUGUAAUAAUAGUUUACUAAACAUACAGAUUUAAGUCACUGUUUUUCUUUAAAUAGUCCUAAUGAUCACAUUUGGAUAUUUGGUUAAUAUUAUUCCAACGAAUCAUUUAAACAAAGUGCCGAUUUCAGAAUAUUUCUUAGUUUGUACAUUACAACUUUUAUACUCUAUGACAGUUCUUUUCCAGCAAAUUUUUUGUUUGUUCUUUGUUUGUUCGUACAAACUUCAUUCAUGUCAUUUACAUUCGUUCGUUCGUUUUGAAUUUACGUUAAAUUAAAAUUGAACCAUCCAUUUUAAAUGGUGCAUUUUGCAACUCAUCAAUUCGAACAAAUUGAAGUGCUUAAUUUUUACUCGAUCUGCAUUCAAUUGAGUGUGUCUCGUAGUUAUUACCGAUUAAUUCGUAAUUAACGUGCUGUAUUAUACAUUGUUGGAUGUACAAGUUACAAGUUUCUUGAAAGUUUACAUUUGGGUGAAAAAAGCUAUUUUUUGAUUUCUUCAUUUAUCCAUGUGGUAUUUUUAUGAUAUUGCUGACUUAGGUAAUGGCGAAGUCGUUGUCUAGCCUGUUUUUGGAUUCUUUCCCAAAAUGUGUCUUGUCACGUGUCGAAAAAAAAUUUCUAGUCUUACAAAACCCGAUUGAAGAUAGGCUAAUCACUAAUAGUUGUCAGAUUUUGAACAAAUUAAUAAAUUAUCUAUCGUUUUGUUGUGAAAUGAUUCAGAUUUAUUUGGUCGCUGCAUUUUAUAUGAAAGUUACUUGAAAGUUUUCUGGGCAAUUGUGGUUUGAGACGUUUAAUUUGCAUAAAGUGUUUUGUAAAAGUCGGUGCAGUUGUGAUGUGCUUAGCCGGAUGGAACAAUAAUCCAUAUCCAGGUUUCCAUCCCUGCCAUUACCAAUGUUUUUAGAUUUUCGAACUUCCUAUCCGACGUUACAAAUUUACAAAACAAACAUGUCGGCAAAGAGAAUUAAAAGAUACGGGUGAAGGCAACCAACUCGCAAUGGGCCAUUGUUUACUGUAGCUAACUCUCCUAAUUCGGGUAAGCCUCCGAGCCUCCUGAUCUGGUAGUUUGGGUUGUUUUGUUAGUAAUGGUGGUCAUUGAUGCAGUUUCAUAUAGUAUCUUACGCUAAAGGUUUUACAAAACCAAUUUUUAUAUAACAUUUAAUAAGAUAUGAGCUGUUUUUGUCAUGGCUGUCUUAUGUACUUUUAUUGGUCAUUCUUAUGGUGUAAAAAACCCUCAAAAAUAUGUGUGCGGUUAACUACCCCACCAACAUGGGUUAAGUUGAACAGAGCUUGCAUUUUGAGGCAUACAAGUAAAUAUGACAAAAGGUUUAGUGGAAGACAUUUUUGUAUUCUGUAUACAAAGUAAUUUAUUUAUAUAUUUGAAAAUAAAUUAUCUGCAAUAAAGUUUUGAAAGUUAUGUACAUAGAAAACUUUGUUUUUAUUCUAUGUAUAUGCAACAAGCUAUAUAACUUAAGUGGUAUAAGACUUUAAAAUGUGCAUUUUACCCUCUGUUGAUUGUGUCGGCAAUGCAUCAAAAUAUGAAUGUCUAGGCAGAGGUUGCUCCACUAUUUUAGCAAAUUUUGGUAACCGCAUGUUUGUUACUUUAUACAAUGAAAAGAAAUGUUUAUUUAUUUAUUAGACAUAUCAACUUUUGUUAUUGUGGUUGUCACAUAGAUUUACAUUGUUUAUCUACAGGAUCUGGUCUCUUUUAGAACAUGAUAGUAGAUAUGGAAAAUGUAAAAAGAAAAAAUAUAAAAUUACUAUGUUACAGUAGUAACAUUUCCCAAUAUAUUUAAAUUUCUUUCAAUUCCAAUGGCUUUUAGCUGUUGUUUUAACUCAGAUAAGCCUGAAACUAAAAUUUUCUGAAAAUUUUGAAAAAACUUACAUUGUUUAGUUUAUUAGAUCUUAUGCAACAUAAAAAAAAAUUAUGAAAAAAAAAUUAAGUGUAAGGCUUUCAGGGAAACAGCCGUCCUGUAGGACAGUAGGAUAAUAAGAGGAAAUAAAAGACCAUUUACGACAAAACAGAAUGUAACC